UGGGGAAUAUUGCACAAUGGGCGCAAGCCUGAUGCAGCCAUGCCGCGUGUAUGAAGAAGGUCUUCGGGUUGUAAAGUACUUUCAGUCGGGAGGAAGGUGUCAAGGUUAAUAACUUUGGCAAUUGACGUUACCGACAGAAGAAGCACCGGCUAACUCCGUGCCAGCAGCCGCGGUAAUACGGAGGGUGCAAGCGUUAAUCGGAAUUACUGGGCGUAAAGCGCACGCAGGCGGUUGAGUGAGUCAGAUGUGAAAUCCCCGGGCUUAACUCGGGAAUUGCAUCUGAUACUGGUCAGCUAGAGUCUUGUAGAGGGGGGUAGAAUUCCAUGUGUAGCGGUGAAAUGCGUAGAGAUGUGGAGGAAUACCAGUGGCGAAGGCGGCCCCCUGGUCAAAGACUGACGCUCAGGUGCGAAAGCGUGGGGAGCAAACAGG
rnacentral:rRNA from 1 species